GGAUGCCCAUAUCUCAGGAAAUGCCCGGUUUAUCUAUCUCCAUCAUAGUCAGGGAACCCCCAUAAAUCUAGAAAAAUAACAAUGGCAUUGCGGAGGUCAGCGGUUCGAUCCCGCUUGGCUCCACCA
rnacentral:tRNA from 1 species